rnacentral:rRNA from 1 species
AUUGAACGCUGGCGGCAUGCCUUACACAUGCAAGUCGAACGGCAGCACGGGUGCUUGCACCUGGUGGCGAGUGGCGAACGGGUGAGUAAUACAUCGGAACGUACCUUAUCGUGGGGGAUAACGCAGCGAAAGCUGUGCUAAUACCGCAUAUGCCCUGAGGGGGAAAGCGGGGGAUCGCAAGACCUCGCACGAUUAGAGCGGCCGAUGCCUGAUUAGCUUGUUGGUGGGGUAAAAGCCCACCAAGGCGACGAUCAGUAGCUGGUCUGAGAGGACGAUCAGCCACACUGGGACUGAGACACGGCCCAGACUCCUACGGGAGGCAGCAGUGGGGAAUUUUGGACAAUGGGGGCAACCCUGAUCCAGCAAUGCCGCGUGAGUGAAGAAGGCCUUCGGGUUGUAAAGCUCUUUUGUCAGGGAAGAAACACCGGCUCUAACACAGUCCGGGAAUGACGGUACCUGAAGAAUAAGCACCGGCUAACUACGUGCCAGCAGCCGCAGUAA